rnacentral:rRNA from 1 species
AGCGAACGCUGGCGGCAGGCCUAACACAUGCAAGUCGAACGAACCCUUCGGGGUUAGUGGCGGACGGGUGAGUAACACGUGGGAACGUACCUUUAGGUUCGGAACAACACAGGGAAACUUGUGCUAAUGCCGAAUGUGCCCUUCGGGGAAGGAUUAUCGCCUUUAGAGCGGCCCGCGUCUGAUUAGCUUGUUGGUGAGGUAAAGGACUCACCAAGGCUUCGAUCAGUAGCUGGUCUGAGAGGANGAUCAGCCACACUGGAACUGAGACACGGUCCAGACUCCUACGGGAGGCAGCAGUGGGGAAGUUUUGGUACAAUGGGGGCGAACCCUGAUCCAGCCAUUCCGCGUGAGUGAAGAA